ACUUUUUGAAGAAAAGAGCCGAGGGACUUUCUCUUAAUUUCGCUGUGAAAUUUUUCUCUCAAAGUGACAAGUUGAUUUAGAGAAAAAGUUAAUUGUUUAUUUUUAAUUCUAAUUCGAUUCUAAAUUGUUGAUCAGAAUUUUUGAUCUGGUUAAUUAGAGAAAUUAGUUAAUGAUGAUCGAGUUUUGGAUCCUAAGGUGGGUGUUGUUGUUUCCUUAGGCCUAAUACCAGAGGUGUUGAUUUAAUCCAUGACGGUUGAGAUUCUGGUUUCAGAUUAAUUCAUUAAAACCUUUUAGGUUUCCAUUUUGAUUUCUAAUUAAUCUCUUAAUUCAUAGAGUUUGUCCUCUCUACCAAGCCAAUCAAUUUAAUCACCAAUAAGUUAAUUGUUUUUUUUAUCUAUUUGUGUUUCAAUAUCUUCCUCUUAUAAUCAACGUCUAUGUAUAGACAAUCAAAGUUGUCCAAUCAACUACUCCGAUUAACUGGUUGUUACCAAGGAAUUGGCUCUCUGGUUUUCUAUAAAUUCUGGUUAAGGAUCAAUCAAUUUGGAUCUCAUUACAUUCAGAUGUGUUUUUGUGUUUUCUUUUAAUUGUUAAUCAAUUUGUUUCCAUUAUCUCUCUAAUUGUUAAUUGAUUCUGAUGCCUCUAAUUAAUGACAAUUACUUUGUGGAUUAGCUUAUAAGUUUUUCUAUUUUAAUUUUCUCUUCAAGGUAUCAAUUAGCUGAUUUCUCUCUUCUUGGAUGUUCAAUUGGUUUUCGUUGUCUAAAUGGUGAUUGUGUUAAUUUUCCAGUUCAUUUUAAUCACUUUGCCCUAAAUUGUUUCAAUGACCGGAGGCUUUUACUUUGACCUUGAUUGGUACUCGAAGGAUAAUGUUGACGAUAAUAAUUCAUCAGAGAUGAUUAACUUAAUGUUUACAUGAUGAUGGAGAGAAAAAGAUUCAACAUCAACAAUCAACCUCAUGUUCAUUAGAAAAUGAGUUUAUUGCUGAGAGAGAGA